UUCUCUCUCCAUCUCUCCUGGCCUCUUUGUUUCUGCUGAACUGGCAUCUCUACCAUCUCUCUCUCCCUCUUUUUCUGUGACUGUCUCUGCCCUCACCAGCUGCCUUCCUCUGGGGGAGGACUCUUCAGGCCUGUGGCGGGGGGCAGGCACCAUCCGCCUGGAACAGGACGUGUUCUCAGCCCUGGCUGGGCAGGGCCAGAUCUACGUGCACCUUAAUGACGGUAUCUGGAGCCAGAUCAAGUCUGCAGGCUCGGCCCUCUAUGCCUCCCGCCUCUAUCUGGGUCAGUACCAGUUCACUCACCCCGAACGCCUGGCCAAGCACAGCCCAGGCGGGCCGUGGAUCCGAGGUACCCAUCCUGCCACGAUUCCUGAGCUCUGCCCUUCCC